rnacentral:rRNA from 1 species
AGUGAACGCUGGCGGUAGGCCUAACACAUGCAAGUCGAACGGCAGCACAGGAGAGCUUGCUCUCUAGGUGGCGAGUGGCGGACGGGUGAGGAAUACAUCGGAAUCUGCCCAGUCGUGGGGGAUAACGUAGGGAAACUUACGCUAAUACCGCAUACGACCUUCGGGUGAAAGAGGGGGAUCGCAAGACCUCUCGCGAUUGGAUGAGCCGAUGUCGGAUUAGCUAGUUAGCGGGGUAAUGGCCCACCAAGGCGACGAUCCGUAGCUGGUCUGAGAGGAUGAUCAGCCACACUGGAACUGAGACACGGUCCAGACUCCUACGGGAGGCAGCAGUGGGGAAUAUUGGACAAUGGGCGCAAGCCUGAUCCAGCCAUACCGCGUGGGUAAAGAAGGCCUUCGGGUUGUAAGGCCCUUUUGUUGGGAAAGAAAUCUUUCAGGCUAAUACCCUGGGAGGAUGACGGUACCCAAAGAAUAAGCACCGGCUAACUUCGUG